AACGAACGCUGGCGGCGUGCCUAACACAUGCAAGUCGAACGAGAAAGGGGCUUCGGCUCCGAGUAAAGUGGCGCACGGGUGAGUAACACGUGGGUAACCUGCCUCUAAGAUUGGGAUAACUCGUCGAAAGAUGAGCUAAUACCGGAUAAGACCACAGUUCCCGCGGGAACAGGGGUCAAAGGUAGCCUCUGCUUGCAAGCUAUCACUUAGAGAUGGGCCUGCGCACCAUUAGCUAGUUGGUAGGGUAACGGCCUACCAAGGGAAAGAUGGUUAGCUGGUCUGAGAGGAUGAUCAGCCACACUGGAACUGAGACACGGUCCAGACUCCUACGGGAGGCAGCAGUGGGGAAUAUUGCGCAAUGGGCGAAAGCUUGACGCAGCAACGCCGCGUGAGUGAUGAAGGCCUUCGGGUCGUAAAGCUCUGUCGGGAGGAACGAAUGCUCCCAAGGUUAACAGCCUCGGGAGGUGACGGUACCUUCAAAGGAAGCACCGGCUAACUCUGUGCCAGCCGCCGCCGUAAGAC
rnacentral:rRNA from 1 species